rnacentral:rRNA from 1 species
UAGAACGCUGGCGGCAGGCCUAACACAUGCAAGUCGAGCGCGACAAGCACUUCGGUGUGAGUAGAGCGGCGGACGGGUGAGUCACGCGUAGGAAUCUACCUAGUAGUGGGGGACAACUCGGGGAAACUCGAGCUAAUACCGCAUAAGCCAUACGGGGGAAAGCGGGGGACCUUCGGGCCUCGUGCUAUUAGAUGAGCCUGCGUUGGAUUAGCUAGUUGGUGGGGUAAAGGCCUACCAAGGCGACGAUCCAUAGCUGGUCUGAGAGGAUGAUCAGCCACACCGGGACUGAGACACGGCCCGGACUCCUACGGGAGGCAGCAGUGGGGAAUAUUGCGCAAUGGGCGAAAGCCUGACGCAGCCAUGCCGCGUGUGUGAAGAAGGCCUUCGGGUUGUAAAGCACUUUCAAUUGGGAGGAAAGGUUCACGGUUAAUAACCGUGAGCUGUGACGUUACCUUUAGAAGAAGCACCGGCUAACUCCGUGCCAGCAGCCGCGGUAAUACGGAGGGUGCGAGCGUUAAUCGGAAUUACUGGGCGUAAAGCGCGCGUAGGUGGUAUGUUAAGUCGGAUGUGAAAGCCCCGGGCUCAACCUGGGAACUGCAUUCGAUACUGGCAGACUAGAGUGCGAGAGAGGGAGGUAGAAUUCCAUGUGUAGCGGUGAAAUGCGUAGAUAUGUGGAGGAAUACCAGUGGCGAAGGCGGCCUCCUGGCUCGACACUGACACUGA